AUACUUAUCUGGAUGGGAUCAAUGGGUGAUCAAAAAGGCCUAUGGUCUAGGUUGGUGUUCUCCAUUGCACUUGGGAGGGUUGCCUGCCUAAGGUUUACCCAAGUGGUGGAGCCUACAUCAUGAUUUGUGAUAGUGAGGGUUUGCGUUCGAGCGGCCUCUGU